AUUGAACGCUGGCGGCAUGCCUUACACAUGCAAGUCGAACGGUAACAGGUCUUCGGAUGCUGACGAGUGGCGGACGGGUGAGUAAUACAUCGGAACGUGCCUAGUAGCGGGGGAUAACUACUCGAAAGAGUGGCUAAUACCGCAUGAGAUCUACGGAUGAAAGCAGGGGAUCGCAAGACCUUGUGCUACUAGAGCGGCCGAUGGCAGAUUAGGUAGUUGGUGGGAUAAAAGCUUACCAAGCCGACGAUCUGUAGCUGGUCUGAGAGGACGAUCCGCCAAACUGGGAAUGAGACACGGCCCAGACGCCUACGGGAGGCAGCAGUUGGGGAUUUGGGACAAUGGGCGCAAGACUGUUCCAGCAUAGCCGCGUGCAGGAUGAUGGGCUUCUGGUUGUAAACUGCUUUUGUACGGAACGAAAAGUCCUGUGUUAAUACCCUGGUGUCAUGACGGUACCGUAAGAAUAAGCACCGGCUAACUACGUGCCAGCAGCCGCUGUAAUAC
rnacentral:rRNA from 1 species